rnacentral:rRNA from 1 species
GAUGAACGCUGGCGGCGUGCCUAAUACAUGCAAGUCGAGCGAACAGACGAGGAGCUUGCUCCACUGACGUUAGCGGCGGAAGGGUGAGUAACACGUGGAUAACCUACCUAUAAGACUGGGAUAACUUCGGGAAACCGGAGCUAAUACCGGAUAAUAUAUUGAACCGCAUGGUUCAAUAGUGAAAGACGGUUUUGCUGUCACUUCUAGAUGGAUCCGCGCCGCAUUAGCUAGUUGGUAAGGUAACGGCUUACCAAGGCGACGAUGCGUAGCCGACCUGAGAGGGUGAUCGGCCACACUGGAACUGAGACACGGUCCAGACUCCGACGGGAGGCAGCAGUAGGGACUCUUCCGCAAUGGGCGAAAUCCUGACGGAGCAACGCCGCGUGAGUGAUGAAGGUCUUCGGAUCGUAAAACUCUGUUAGUAUGGAAGAACAAAUGUGUAAGUAACUAUGCACGUCUUGACGGUACCUAAUCAGAAAGCCACGGCUAACUACGUG